rnacentral:rRNA from 1 species
UACGAAGGGGGCUAGCGUUGCUCGGAAUGACUGGGCGUAAAGGGCGCGUAGGCGGUUCGGUUAGUUAGGCGUGAAAUUCCUGGGCUUAACCUGGGGGCUGCGCUUAAUACAGCCGGGCUUGAGUGUGGAAGAGGGUCGUGGAAUUCCCAGUGUAGAGGUGAAAUUCGUAGAUAUUGGGAAGAACACCGGUGGCGAAGGCGGCGACCUGGUCCAUUACUGACGCUGAGGCGCGAAAGCGUGGGGAGCAAACAGG